UACGUAGGGGGCAAGCGUUGUCCGGAUUUAUUGGGCGUAAAGAGCGUGUAGGCGGCUUGGUAGGUCCGCUGUGAAAACUCGAGGCUCAACCUCGAGAUGUCGGCGGAAACCCCCUGGCUAGAGUCCGGAAGAGGAGAGUGGAAUUCCCGGUGUAGCGGUGAAAUGCGCAGAUAUCGGGAAGAACACCUAUGGCGAAGGCAGCUCUCUGGGACGGUACUGACGCUGAGACGCGAAAGCGUGGGUAGCAAACAGG
rnacentral:rRNA from 1 species